UACGUAGGGUGCGAGCGUUAAUCGGAAUUACUGGGCGUAAAGGGUGCGCAGGCGGUUAUAUAAGACAGAUGUGAAAUCCCCGGGCUCAACCUGGGAACUGCGUUUGUGACUGUAUGACUAGAGUACGGUAGAGAGGGGUGGAAUUCCUGGUGUAGCAGUGAAAUGCGUAGAUAUCAGGAGGAACAUCGAUGGGCGAAGGCAGCCGCCUGGCCAACACUGACGUUCAUGCACGAAAGCGUGGGGAGCAAACAGG
rnacentral:rRNA from 1 species